CGCUGAAGGCAUCUAAGCGUGAAGCCCCCCUCAAGAUGAGAUAUCCCAUGACGUCAAGUCAGUAAGACCCCUUGAAGACGACGAGGUAGAUAGGGCAGAGGUGGAAGUGUCGUAAGGCAUGGAGCUGACUGUUACUAAUAGGUCGAGGGCAUAACCAG
rfam:Lachnoclostridium sp. An169 An169_contig_18, whole genome shotgun sequence.